rnacentral:rRNA from 1 species
GACGAACGCUGGCGGCGUGCCUAACACAUGCAAGUCGAACGGAGCUAUCAUCUUUCGGGAAGAUAGCUUAGUGGCGGACGGGUGAGUAACGCGUGAGCAACCUGCCUUACAGAGGGGGAUAACACCGGGAAACGGGUAGCUAAUACCGCAUAACAUACCGAGAUGGCAUCAUCAUGGUAUCAAAGGAGAAAUCCGCUGUAAGAUGGGCUCGCGUCCGAUUAGAUAGUUGGUGAGGUAACGGCCCACCAAGUCUACGAUCGGUAGCCGGACUGAGAGGUUGAACGGCCACAUUGGGACUGAGACACGGCCCAGACUCCUACGGGAGGCAGCAGUGGGGGAUAUUGCACAAUGGGCGAAAGCCUGAUGCAGCAACGCCGCGUGAGGGAAGACGGUCUUCGGAUUGUAAACCUUUAGCUUUGGGGAAGAAAAAAUGACGGUACCCAAAGGAGCAGCCACGGCUAACUACGUG